GCCUGGGUGGGUGGAGCCGAGGGAGGCAGGGCCAGGUGCGCCUGUGGGGCCCAGUAAGGAGUUUCAGCCGCCUCUGAGGCUGGGCUUCCCUGUAAUUACCAUUUGCAGGUGGUUGGGUGCCAGGGGUAAGGCUUUCAUUUGACAGGUGAGGCUUACCUCCUGGAGCUGGAGAAUUGACUCUGUAAUUGACCGGGGUGUUUUACCUUUGAUGGGUCCCCUGGCAGUCUGAGUCCCAGCUCACGGGGCAGGUGUGGCACUGUCCGUCUCGGCCGAGCCUCUCGUCCUUUCAGUCACGGACUCACACGGACCUCAGACCCAAACCGCAAGGGGGACACUGCGCAGUGGAGGUGGAUGUGAAUGCCCAGGGUGGGCGGGUGACUCCAACGGUAGACCUGAGUUGAGUAUCAGCUCUGCCACUGAGCUGUCUCACCUCGGUCAGCUUAAUUAACCUCUCUGGUCUUCCGUUUCCCCAUCUGAAAAUGGGCCUAAUGGUAUCCAUGUGACUUAGUUAUUUUGACGAGUAAAUAGGAUAAUGGGUGUGAAGUGCUUAGUGAAGCGCCCAGCGCCCUUGUAAGUGCCCAGUUAAAUGCUGUCCUUUCUCGCCGUCUAUGAGUGUGGUGCUGGGUGCCCACGCAGUGCCUGGCUCUGGGUGGGGUCUGCCUUUGUCCCUGUAGCAGUGGUGGAUCUAAAAGGCUUGAGGACCACCCCUCCUGAGGGCUCCCACCCCAGGGAAAGGGAGAACUGACCCGAGUGCCUACUGUGUGCUGGCCCCGUGUGUGCCAGCAAGACCCUGCCCUGCUGUCAAGGAGCUUGGGUCCCUGAUGGGGAUGGCAAAAGGAGGCGCAUUGUGGAGGACACUGAGGCAGGUUAAAAUGAACCUCGGGUCAUUGUGGACGGCUGCACAGACGGGUGAAGGUGAGGAAUGAAAGCGUUAGCCGCUCAGAUAUUUCCGACUCUUUGAGGCCCCGAGGACUGUAGCCCUCCAGGCUCCUCUGUCCAGGGAAUUCUCCAGGCGAAAAUACUGGAGUGGGUGGCCAUUUCCUCCUCCAGGGGAUCUUCCUGACCCAGGGAUCAAACCGGGCUCUUCUGCAUUGCAGGUGGAUUCUUUACUGCCUGAGCCA
rnacentral:lncRNA from 1 species